AUUCCUACAUGGUAAGAUGAUACUUAGAACUCCUAAGAACUCCUUUCUUUUUUUGACUACUAUAGCUAUGAUGAAACUAACAACACAAUGAACAAAAGCUGUCCCAGACUACUUCAGGAAGAAUUACCAGGAAUUGGUAACACAGUAGCCGCUGUCUAUGAAAAAAAUGGAUGUUGAUGUCAUCUAUAAAUGGAACUGUCUAGAACAAUAGUCGAAUAGAAAUGGGGUCACCUGGUUUAGGCUGUAAUUCAGAGUGUUGGAGGCCACAGGGUUCUGGUCAUGUGUUUGAUUCUUCUGAUCUACUCUAACUUCUGAAAAUGAGCCCAAAGUUAAUUUGUGAAAGAGAGACAGUUGCCUUGGGUCCCAACAAGAGCACCUCACCACAGGUGAGGAUCUCACAAAAAUAGGACUAGUAAGUAAUAGCUCCAUUUCUUAAGAUUUCUUUUAUCCCUCAAAUCUGAAUUCUGUAUAAUACUAAUGUCUCUCGGGAAAUCCUAAAAUCAUUUAAAUGGUUAGGGGCUUCAUAGUUAUAGACUUAUUCUCCUUUCUCUAUUUAAUACACUUUCUUGUACCUACUU